rnacentral:lncRNA from 1 species
AGACUACACUACCCUAGGAAUAUAUUCCUAUUCAGAAAGUCUAGUGCGUUUGGCAAAGAUUUAUAAUUAUAUUUGUGACUUUAGCAUAACACAGAGUGUGUAUUUGACCAAUGAAUUAUAAACAGACUGUCCAUUUUUUAUGAAACAAGGAGGAGACUGCCUGACCAAGGCCAUUGUGACACGGUGGAGGCUUUACCGGGCAGUAUUUGCGGAAUGCAUUACAGAAACAAGUUGGCAUGAGUCUGAAUCCCAGAUCAUUUACCUCUUACUUCCAAGUUACUUAACAUCUAUGCACAGUUGACUGAAGGAAUCAGUGAGUCUGAAGACUCCAGAUGACAUCAGAGCUGCUUGUCAGUAGCCUUCUCAAUUUCCUUUGUCAGAAAGCAGAGAGAUUCAAACCUCGGGCAGAUGGUGAGAAUAUUUUUCCUGAGUUCUUUGGACUUAAUCAUUGUCAUUUUAAUAGAUUUCAGACAAUUCUUCCUCGGUUGUAAAUUAGCUUACCAUCAAUAAAUGUGUAUUUUGUGCUUCAUCUGUGUGUUAGGCCAUUAGGCAGUGCGGUUUUAAAAAAAGAAUGAGAUAAAAUGUUACCUUUAAGAACUUAGAAGGAAAGAAUAAAUGCAAAUAAGUAAAUGUAAUCAUACAGUAAAGUGCUUAAAUGCUACAAAAAUGACAAGAACAUUCUUGAGAAUAUAAUGAGCAGAUUAUUUCUGGAGAGGGAUUGGGAGACUUGGAAGAAGAAAUAGUAUUUAUGUUAAUGAUACACAGGGUUUUUUGUUUGUUUUUUUUUUUUACCAAAACCUGC